GCGCGUGUGGUGGAAUGGUAUACACGCUGGUCUUAAACACCAGCGCCUCUGGCAUGUGGGUUCGAGUCCCACCACGCGCACCA
rnacentral:tRNA from 1 species